rnacentral:misc_RNA from 1 species
GAAACGCGAUAGUUAAUGUGAAUUGCAGAAUUCAGUGAAUCAUCGAGUCUUUGAACGCACAUUGCGCCCAUAGGUAUUCCUUUGGGCAUGUCUGUUUGAGCGUCAUUACAACCCUCAGCUAACCGCUGGUUUUGAACCUGAACGGGUGACACCGCGCCGGUUUUAAAGUUGUAAGCUCUGCUGGCCGCUCUGCCCAACCAGAGCAUAGUAAGCACUACUUGUCCGGGUGAAGCUGAACGGUACGGCCUGAACAAAACCUACCCACUCUCAAGGUUUGACCUCAGAUCAGACAAGGAUACCCGCUGAACGUCAGCA